rnacentral:rRNA from 1 species
CAGCCGCCGCGGUAAUACGGAGGGGCUAGCGUUGUUCGGAAUUACUGGGCGUAAAGCGCACGUAGGCGGUUUGUUAAGUCAGAUGUGAAAUCCCCGAGCUUAACUUGGGGACUGCAUUUGAAACUGGCAAGCUAGAGUCUUGUAGAGGGGGGUAGAAUUCCAGGUGUAGCGGUGAAAUGCGUAGAGAUCUGGAGGAAUACCGGUGGCGAAGGCGGCCCCCUGGACAAAGACUGACGCUCAGGUGCGAAAGCGUGGGGAGCAAACAGGAUUAGAUACCCCUGUAGUCCCUGUCUCUUAUACA